AACGAACGCUGGCGGCAUGCCUAACACAUGCAAGUCGAACGAGACCUUCGGGUCUAGUGGCGCACGGGUGCGUAACGCGUGGGAACCUGCCCUUAGGUUCGGAAUAACUCCCCGAAAGGGGUGCUAAUACCGGAUAAUGUCUUCGGACCAAAGAAUUAUCGCCUUUGGAUGGGCCCGCGUUGGAUUAGCUAGUUGGUAGGGUAAAAGCCUACCAAGGCGACGAUCCAUAGCUGGUCUGAGAGGAUGAUCAGCCACAAUGGGACUGAGACACGGCCCAAUCUCUUGCGGGAGGCAGCAGUUGGGAAUAUUAGACAAUGGGCGGAAGCGUGAGCCAGCAAUGCCGCGUGAGAGAUGAAGGCCUUAGUGUUGUAAAGCUUUUUUACCCGGGAUGAUAAUGACAGUCCCGGGAGAAUAAGCUCCGGCUAACUCCGUG
rnacentral:rRNA from 1 species